rnacentral:tRNA from 1 species
GACCUAGUAGCUCAGCUAAUAGAGCGUCUACUGUACAAAAGUGUACAGAGCGUCUUUGCGUGGGUUCGAAUCCCAUCGAGGCUA